AUUGAACGCUGGCGGCAUGCUUUACACAUGCAAGUCGAACGGCAGCGCGGGCUUCGGCCUGGCGGCGAGUGGCGAACGGGUGAGUAAUGCAUCGGUACGUGCCCACUAUUGCGGGAUAACCCGGCGAAAACCGGAUUAAUACCGCAUACUACCUGAGGGUGAAAGCGGAGGACCGUAAGGCAUCGCGCUAUCUGAGAGGCCGAUGGCGCAUGCGCUUGUUGGGGGGGUAAAGGCUUACCAAGGCGACGAUCCGUACCUGGUCUGACAGGACGACCAGCCACACUGGGACUGAGACACGGCCCAGACUCCUACGGGAGGCAGCAGUGGGGAAUGUUGGGCAAUGGGGGAGAGCCUGAUACAGCAACGCCGGGUGAGGGAAGAAGGCCUUCGGGUUGUAAACCGCUUUUGGUCGGGAAGAAGUCCGGUGGGCUAAUAGCCCGGGGGGAUGACGGUACCGGAAGAAUAAGCACCGGCUAACUACGUG
rnacentral:rRNA from 1 species